rnacentral:rRNA from 1 species
GGCUUUUUGGGAAUGAAAAAAAGUCUGGCCUGCUCACUGAUGAGUUUAAAAGCCGCGGUAUUUUGACUGUGCGAAGGUAGCAUAAUCAUUAGUCUUUUAAUUGGGGACUGGAAUGAAAGGUUUGAUGAAUAAAAACUAUUUAGUGUUAAAUUUUGAAAUUAGAUUUAUUGUAAAAAUACAAUAUUAAGAAUAUGGGACGAUAAGACCCUAUCGAGCUUUAUUAAAUAUAUUUAAUAUUAAUAUUUAUAUUCUCUUGUUAAAUAAAAUUUAAUUUUACUGGGGUGGUAAAUAAAAGAGCUUUAUUUAUUUGAGAAAACUAACAAGUUAAAUAAUUUAAUCUAUUUUGAUAAAUUUGGAAAAGCUACCGUAGGGAUAACAGUGUAAUUUAUUUGGAAAGACCCUAUUGAUAAAUAAGAUUACUACCUCGAUGUUGAAUAAAAUAACUUUAAGGUGAAAGAGCUUUAAAAGUAAGUCUGUUCGACUUUUAAAUUUUUACA